rnacentral:rRNA from 1 species
ACCAGACUCCUACGGGAGGCAGCAGUGGGGGAUAUUGCACAAUGGGGGGAACCCUGAUGCAGCGACGCCGCGUGGGUGAAGAAGCGCCUCGGCGCGUAAAGCCCUGUCAGCAGGGAAGAAAAUGACGGUACCUGAAGAAGAAGCCCCGGCUAACUACGUGCCAGCAGCCGCGGUAAUACGUAGGGGGCAAGCGUUAUCCGGAUUUACUGGGUGUAAAGGGGGCGCAGGCGGCGAUGCAAGCCAGGAGUGAAAGCCCGGGGCCCAACCCCGGGACUGCUCUUGGAACUGCGUGGCUGGAGUGCAGGAGGGGCAGGCGGAAUUCCUGGUGUAGCGGUGAAAUGCGUAGAUAUCAGGAGGAACACCGGUGGCGAAGGCGGCCUGCUGGACUGCAACUGACGUUGAGGCCCGAAAGCGUGGGGAGCAAACAGGAUUAGAUACCCGAGUA